rnacentral:rRNA from 1 species
GUGGCCAAGUUAUUAAGGGCACACGGUGGAUGCCUUGGCAUCUGGAGCCGAUGAAGGACGUAGGAGGCUGCGAUAAGCCUCGGGGAGCUGUCAACCGAGCUGUGAUCCGAGGAUUUCCGAAUGGGGAAACCCAGCAGGAGUCAUGUCCUGUUACCCGCGCCUGAACACAUAGGGCGCCCGGGAGGGAACGUGGGGAAGUGAAACAUCUCAGUACCCACAGGAGGAGAAAGCAAAAGCGAUUCCGUGAGUAGUGGCGAGCGAAACCGGAACAGGCUAAACCCGUUACGCGUGAGAGCCGGCAGGCGUUGCGUAGUGGGGGUCGUGGGACCGUUCAGUUGUUUCUGCCGAGACGACAGGGAGUAAGAAAACGUCAUGGUUAGAGGAAAGUGUGUGGAGCGCACUGGCAUAGAGGGUGAGACCCCCGUACUUGAAAACCUGGUGUCUUCCGAAUGGGAUCCCAAGUAGCAGCGAGCCCGUGAAAUUCGCUGUGAAUCUGCCGGGACCACCCGGUAAGCCUAAAUACUCCCAGAUGACCGAUAGCGGACAAGUACCGUGAGGGAAUGGUGAAAAGUACCCCGGGAGGGGAGUGAAAUAGUACCUGAAACCGUGUGCCUACAAGCCGUUGGAGCGUCGCUGCACCCCUUUUGGGGUGUGGUCGUGACAGCGUGCCUUUUGAAGAAUGAGCCUGCGAGUUAGUGGUGUGUGGCGAGGUUAACCCGUGAGGGGCAGCCGUAGCGAAAGCGAGUCCGAAUAGGGCGUUAUAGUCGCAUGCUCUAGACCCGAAGCCGAGUGAUCUAGCCAUGGGCAGGUUGAAGCGUCGGUAAGACGACGUGGAGGACCGAACCCACUUAGGUUGAAAACUGAGGGGAUGACCUGUGGUUAGGGGUGAAAGGCCAAUCAAACUCGGUGAUAGCUGGUUCUCCCCGAAAUGCAUUUAGGUGCAGCGUCACGUGUUUCUUGCCGGAGGUAGAGCUACUGGAUGGCCUAGGGGGCUCAACAGCUUACCGAAGUCAACCAAACUCCGAAUGCCGGUAAGUGAGAACGUGGCAGUGAGACUGCGGGGGAUAAGCUUCGUAGUCGAGAGGGAAACAGCCCAGAUCUUCAGCUAAGGUCCCUAAGCGUGUACUAAGUGGAAAAGGAUGUGAAGUUGCAUAGACAACCAGGAGGUUGGCUUAGAAGCAGCCACCCUUUAAAGAGUGCGUAAUAGCUCACUGGUCAAGUGAUUUUGCGCCGACAAUGUAGCGGGGCUCAAGUACACCACCGAAGCUAAGGCAUUCACGCAUGUUCCUGUCAUCCUUGUGGUGGCCAGGUGUGUGGAUGGGUAGGGGAGCGUCGUGUGGCGAGAGAAGCGGCGGGGUGACCCAGUCGUGGACGCCACACGAGUGAGAAUGCAGGCAUGAGUAGCGAAAGCGGAGUGAGAAACUCCGCCGCCGGAUGACCAAGGGUUCCUGGGCUAGGCUAAUCCGCCCAGGGUAAGUCGGGACCUAAGGCGAGGCCGACAGGCGUAGUCGAUGGACAACGGGUUGAUAUUCCCGUACCCGCGAAAGAACGCCCAUGCUGAGUGAGGGGAUGCUAAACGCCCGAACUACGUGAUGUCCUUCGGGACGGAUCUGUGGGGAGCGCGUGAACCGAUCCUUUAGUAGGCAAGCGAUGGGGUGACACAGGAAGGUAGUCCUACCGGUCAGUGGUAAUACCGGAGUAAGGCGAAGCGUGGGUGUAGGUAAAUCCGCACCGUUUACACGUGAGAACCGAUGCAUAGCCGAAUGAGGCGAAUUGGAUGAUCCUAUGCUGUCGAGAAAAGCCUCUAGCGAGUUCUUAGCGGCCCGUACCCCAAACCAACUCAGGUGGUCAGGUAGAGAAUACUAAGGCGAUCGAGAUAACUAAAGUUAAGGAACUCGGCAAAAUGCCCCCGUAACUUCGGGAGAAGGGGGGCCAUGUCGCGUGAACACCCUUGCGGUGGGAGCGUGGUGUGGCCGCAGAGACCAGCGAGAAGCGACUGUUUACUAAAAACACAGGUCCGUGCGAAGUCGUAAGACGAUGUAUACGGACUGACGCCUGCCCGGUGCUGGAAGGUUAAGAGGACGGGUUAGCCCUUUGGGGCGAAGCUCAGAAUUUAAGCCCCAGUAAACGGCGGUGGUAACUAUAACCAUCCUAAGGUAGCGAAAUUCCUUGUCGGGUAAGUUCCGACCUGCACGAAUGGCGUAACGACUUCUUGACUGUCUCAACUUUAGACUCGGCGAAAUUGCACUACGAGUAAAGAUGCUCGUUACGCGCGGCAGGACGGAAAGACCCCGGGACCUUUACUAUAGUUUGAUAUUGGUGUUCGGUUUGGAUUGUGUAGGAUAGGUGGGAGACGUUGAUGCGGGCACGCCAGUGUUCGUGGAGUCGUUGUUGAAAUACCACUCUGUUCAAAUUGGAUGUCUAACCUCGGUCCGUGAUCCGGAUCAGGGACAGUGUCAGAUGGGUAGUUUAACUGGGGCGGUUGCCUCCUAAAAUGUAACGGAGGCGCCCAAAGGUUCCCUCAGCCUGGUUGGUAAUCAGGUGUUGAGUGUAAGUGCACAAGGGAGCUUGACUGCGAGACAGACAUGUCGAGCAGGAGCGAAAGCUGGGACUAGUGACCCGGCACCGGCUAGUGGAAGCGGUGUCGCUCAACGGAUAAAAGGUACCCCGGGGAUAACAGGCUGAUCUUCCCCAAGAGUCCAUAUCGACGGGAUGGUUUGGCACCUCGAUGUCGGCUCGUCGCAUCCUGGGGGUGGAGUCGCUCCCAAGGGUUGGGCUGUUCGCCCAUUAAAGCGGCACGCGAGCUGGGUUUAGAACGUCGUGAGACAGUUCGGUCCCUAUCCGCCGCGCGCGUAGGAGUCUUGAGAAGGGCUGUCCCUAGUACGAGAGGACCGGGACGGACGAACCUCUGGUGUGCCAGUUGUUCCGCCAGGAGCAUGGCUGGUUGGCUACGUUCGGUACGGAUAACCGCUGAAAGCAUCUAAGCGGGAAGCCGGCUUCAAGAUGAGGGCUCCCACAGGGUUGACCUGGUAAGGAUCCCAGUAGACGACUGGGUUGAUAGGCCGGAGGUGGAAGUGUAGUGAUACAUGGAGCUGACCGGUACUAAUAGUCCGAGGACUUGACCAUA